rnacentral:lncRNA from 1 species
CCCAAUUAUCAUCCUCAUUGAGUUUACCAUCUUCCUCGACAACAAUUGUGUAGAUCUUCAAGUGCCAGACUUUAAAAAUGACAAUGAACCUUAGCAUUGAUGGAAAGGUAACAAUUCUACACGAUCACGCUCUAGCCUUGGGGCACAACUUCACUUUCUUCCCAUGCCACCUUCCUUGGUGUCUCCCUCCUUUCUCUCAGCUUUGUCACCUCCCUCCAUCCUUCCUGAUCCUCCCUUCUUUCACCUCCCCGUGUUGCAUGUCCACCACUCUUGCAGCUCCGCUGGCGCAAUCAGCAAAAGACAUGUCUUGAACUUGAUAACAAAAAAAUCUGAAGGGUUGAAUAAAAAAUUAAACAUUACUUUUACCCUAUAUUUGAACGGAAGAAAAGGAAGUAGAUUCAAUUCACACAUAUGAGUGGGGGUUGCAACUGCACACAGUACCUACGCAAAUGCCUAAUCUGAACAACAACACACUUAUCAGUUACUCUUUGUUCCUUUGCAUUUACUCCUCAAUCACCCUGCAACAAGACAUGUCUCCUCAAUCACCCUGCAACAAGACAUGACAUCAUCUUCAUUCACCUCACGUUAAUAUUGAGGUCAGAAAACAUGAAGAACUUGAGACUUUGGAGUUGAUGGAAUCCAUUGUCUUGUUGUACAAACUUUAUUAUUUCACCAUAUUUCCUUCUACAUGUGCUCUUUCAAGAAGGCACGUGUAAUAAGAGCCGCAACAGAUGAUGUAAUGCCAGCUCUCGGAAUAGUUUACCAAAAUAGGUGUAAUGCCAGCUCACGAAACUGUUUACCAAAAUAAUUCAAGUUCACUAUCAUAAAUAAAUACAGUGAAUUUCUUCUCAUUUUGAAUCAUCUACUUCAUUUCAUCAGCAACUUGCUUUGCAGCCCGAUCUAAAGAAAAGAAGAACUGAGAUCUCCACCACAUGUGCAAUCUCUGGGACCUAAAAGUUUCAAAUAAUACUCCCUCCAUUCCAUAAUGUAGCGCAUAUAGAUUUUCUGAAAAUUCAAGUUUUACAAACUUUGACCAAGUUUAUAGAGAAAAUUAUUUAUAUUUAUAAUACCAAAUAUAUACAAUAUGAAGUACAUCUUGUGGUGCAUCUAAUGAUAUGUAUUUGGUAUUCUAGAUGAAUAUGUUUUUAUAUACAAACUUGGUCAAAGUUUGACUUUUCAGAUAAUCUAUAUGCGCUACAUUAUGGAACGGAUGAAGUAGAUAAUAAGGGCUUCUAGAAAAACCCAAAUAAAAUGCACAAAAAAUCAUGAGAAAUGGAUUAGUAGCUAAAGGCCUCAUCAUCGCAAAUUCAUCAUCCAUAUACGUACGUCAAGUUCUACAAUACUUGAUGGUUGUCAAUGGGAAAUCAGUUCAUCAUUUUUGGAUAAGUACUGUGUCAUUUGAUUUGUACCUAUUUCAUAGGAGUUGAUCAUAAAUGCGAAACUACCAUCUGUUGCCAUUUGUUGUGUUACUAUUUCAGAGCUGAUCAUAUAAACAGUUGUUGGACGCCUAUUUUUUAAAGGAUCCACUGUAGUCAUACAUCAGAUUAUUGUUAGCUUGUGAUUCACCAGAUCAAAACCACAAGGUCAAGCUAAGUAAGCUCCUUGAAGACCCAACAUGAACAGGGGUUCAGGAUUGUGGCACCUACUUUGUCCCUAUGUAAGAAGUGAACCUAUUAAAUAAAGUUCACGAAUUAACCUAUGAAGAUGAACAAUCCUGAAAUUUGAUUAUAUGAAUAUUUAUUUCUGAAACUCGAUUGAUGUCCAUUGUGUUGCCUCCCUCUCUUCGUAUCUCACGCAUGCUGAUCAACUUCGAAUCGGCAUACAUUACUUGCAUGUAUCAACCAAAAGAGCAACGCACUACAUGCAUAUCAAUCGACAGAGAACAAUGGAGGCCUUAUCAAAUUGACCAUGAACACAAUCAAACCGCGAUGGUAGCUCCUUCCUUUUCGGUAAACUAACGAUUUAUGGAACAUCAGAAUAGUUUAUAAAUUUUUAGACACUUCCAAUCACGAGUCCUUAAUUCUGUGUCAUCGUGAUGCUACCCCAGCGAAUAAUGUAGUACAAAUUGAUUCUUUUAGAUAUUAUCAAACCCAUGGCAUGCACUUGAUACAGGACGGCACUCACUGGUUCUUAAUAAAGUCCAUUACCCCUCUAAUCAAGCCCGCGCAGAGCAGCCUUGACAUGCUCGACUGGAGGUCUCUAUACGUGCGACGAUAUGCUUAGUUAACCGAUUCCUCCCUCUAAUACGGGCACCAAUUAAUGGAAACUUUUAGCUACAAAAUUCUAAAAUGCAAUGGUGUAAUGAGAGAAAACUUAAAAGCCCAACAUGGGAUCAGCUAAAUACUACACAAGUCAGUAAAUUGCUUCAAGUACACAAUCAGUAAAUUAAUACGUGCAACCAAAAACAUCUGAUGAAAUGGGAUAAAACUAUAUAAAUAACUUGGGAUCAGCUAAAUAGUCAAAAUUUAGGAUCCCAGGAAUCCUAAUAAUACUAUGAAUUGGCAGUGGACUAACAGGAAUGUAAGUGCAAACCUUUCUUUCUCUUUAAAUUCUUGAGGAUGGUAAAAUUUUGUUACAAGCGUUCAAGAUCCAGUUCUAACAUUUUGGGGUUGCUAAUGCAUUGCAAGUAAUGAAUGUUUAACUACAAUGUUAUCCAAAGUUCAUGUGACUUGAGUGAUAUCUCAUUUAGUUUUAUGUCAUACAAAUAACGUGCAAUUUUAAAAUUAUGUUUGUUGGCGCCCACAUGUUGCUAUCCCAAUCUAAUACAAUUACAACAGAACCAAUAGUGAAAUGAUGCAAAAGGAUUUACUUGAGUACCGGGACUACCGUAGGUAAAGAAAAACCAUUCUCUGACAAAACACAAAACUGAUAGGAAAUAAAAAUCAAAUCAAGCAGAACUGGGGACAAUACUAACUGCAAAUGGAAUACAUUCGGUGCUUCAACAUAUUUCCUGCUAAAGAAUUUAAAGAAAGAAACUUAUUACCAAUACCAUUGAUAUGUCAGCCAAAUGCUGAAAAAAUAGUAUUAUGUAAUACAAAAGUAUUAGAAGUGAUGGAAGAUGGAUUCAAAAACACCAAUGACAUGCACUCGUAUUUUUAAGUCUUCAUACUAUAGAGUUAUCUACCUGCAAGUUAUAUGGCCAUAAAUAAUCACAACAGUUGGAUAGCACCUACACAUGGGAUUAGAUAUUUAAUUCACAUAAUCAGUUCUUCUGCUUCCAUAAAUUCAGAAUUGCAUAAAAAAGUAUGUGUCUAUUGAGUAUAGAUAAUGAUUUGAAUUGUUGACACAUGGCCAAUGGAGCCGUCCACUUGCUAAGUGCUUUUCUAGCAUGGACGAUGUGCACAUGGUGCAAAGCUGGCUGAAGGAGUUGAUAGAUCAGAUCCCGGCAAGACUCGCACGUACUUAACGUGGGUUGCCCUUGCCUUGAUUGAUUCACACUCUGGCAAGGUUGCACACAUAUAGGAAGACUCGAUGGAUUCUUGCCGGCUAGAAACAAACACAAGCAAGCACGCAGGUGAUGCCGAUUUCUUUGCAACGAAUGCAUGUCGCUUGAAGCAGAGGUGGGAAAACAAUAUGUAUAUAGUGAUUUUACCUCAUAAAUUGUUUGGUGGCUCCACUCCAUAAGUAUGAAAUUCGUGAUGU